rnacentral:rRNA from 1 species
CCUACGGGAGGCAGCAGUAAGGAAUAUUGGUCAAUGGACGAAAGUCUGAACCAGCCAUGCCGCGUGAAGGAUGAAGGCCCUCUGGGUUGUAAACUUCUUUUAUCUGGGACGAAAAAAGGGGAUUCUUCCUCACUUGACGGUACCAGAGGAAUAAGCACCGGCUAACUCCGUGCCAGCAGCCGCGGUAAUACGGAGGGUGCAAGCGUUAUCCGGAUUCACUGGGUUUAAAGGGAGCGUAGGUGGGUCUGUAAGUCAGUGGUGAAAUCUCCGAGCUUAACUCGGAAACUGCCAUUGAUACUAUAGGUCUUGAAUUAUCUGGAGGUAAGCGGAAUAUGUCAUGUAGCGGUGAAAUGCUUAGAUAUGACAUAGAACACCAAUUGCGAAGGCAGCUUGCUACGGAUAUAUUGACACUGAGGCUCGAAAGCGUGGGGAUCAAACAGGAUUAGAUACCCUGGUAGUCCACGCCCUAAACGAUGGAUACUCGACANACANCGANACACUAGUUGGUUGUGUGNGNGAAGANAUAUAUACCACCNCGAGACGACG